rnacentral:rRNA from 1 species
UACGAAGGGGGCUAGCGUUGUUCGGAAUUACUGGGCGUAAAGCGCACGUAGGCGGAUUGUUAAGUGAGGGGUGAAAUCCCAGGGCUCAACCCUGGAACUGCCUUUCAUACUGGCAAUCUCGAGUCCGAGAGAGGUGAGUGGAAUUCCGAGUGUAGAGGUGAAAUUCGUAGAUAUUCGGAGGAACACCAGUGGCGAAGGCGGCUCACUGGCUCGGUACUGACGCUGAGGCACGAAAGCGUGGGGAGCAAACAGG